rnacentral:lncRNA from 1 species
GGGAGUUUGGCUGUCUUCAUACUUUAAAAGCAAACAUGAGUGAGGGCACUUGAUACCUGUGGAUAUUUAUCAUUUUGUUCAAUUGCAUCUUUUAUUUUCCAUUUUUUAAAUGAAGCAUUACAAAUCCAGAGUGCACUUUCCUGCAACUUUCACCGCCAGACAUCUAUUAAAGCAGGCCAUGAACAGUGGUUAUAGGCCUCCAACUAGACUCUGCACCACUGAUGAGACCCUUCUGAGCUCUGCCAGUCGACCAGUUGUCAACCAACCUCAUCAUCCACUCAUCUAUCCCUGCACUUUCUAGGUUUCAUAACGAGAAUGGUGUGAAAUAUGGUGUCAAAUGCCUUGCUGAAGUCAAGGCACACAACAUCCACCGCUCCACCCCCCAUCUACCCAGCCAGUGAUGACAUCAGAGAACGCUGUCAGGUUGGUCAAGCGUGACUUCCCCUUGGUGGAUCCGCGUUGGCUACGCCCGAUAACCUUCUUCUCUUCCAAUGCCUUGGAGAGGGUAUCCAGAACAAGUUGUUCCAUCAUCCUUCCGGGGAUGGAGGUGAGGCUGAGUAGCCGGUAGUUUCCCAGAUCCGCCUUCUUGCGCUUUUUAAAGACUGGAGUGACACUGGCUAUCCUCCAGUCUUCAGGCAUCUCUCUCCUGUUUGCCAGGACCUCCCAAAGAUGAUAGAGAGCCAUUUAGCAAUCACCUCUGCCAGUUCCUCCAGCACAUGUGGGUGCACCCCAUCGGGGCCUGUGGAUUAGCGUGCAUUAAUUUUGGCUAGAUGCUCUCUGGCCCAAUCCUCCUCGACCAAGGGGAAGCCUUCCCUUCCCCAGGCUUCCUCUCUUACCUACAGGGUGUGGGGCCUGGGGUUCCUAACGGCUAGUCUUAGCAUUAAAGACUGAAGCAAAGAAGGCAUUCAGAAUCUCUGCCUGCUCAGAAUUCCCUGUUACCCAGGCACCUGGCUCAUUUAGUAGAGGUCCCACAUUUUCCCUAGUCUUCCUUUUACUGUUGACAUACUUCUAGAAAACCUUUUCU